GUAGUCUCGCACAGAUGCAUAUCAAUAAGCGGAGGAAAAGAAACUAACAAGGGAUUCCCUUAGUAACGGCGAGUGAAGCGGGAAGAGCUCGAAUUUGAAAUCUUCAAGGUUUUACCUUGACGAAUUGUAGUUUAAAGAAGUGUUUUCUGUUGAAGUUUUGGUAAAAGUUCUUUGGAAUAGGACAUCAUAGAGGGUGAGAAUCCCGUAUUUGACCAUUAUUUUCAGCUGUGUGAUACACUUUCAAAGAGUCGGAUUGUUUGGGAAUGCAGUCCAAAAUGGGUGGUAAAUUUCAUCUAAAGCUAAAUAUUGGCGAGAGACCGAUAGCGAACAAGUACCGUGAGGGAAAGAUGAAAAGAACUUUGAAAAGAGAGUUAAACAGUACGUGAAAUUGUCAAAAGGGAAGCGUUUGACACCAGUGUUGUUUUCUCGAAAAUCAAUUAAAAAGAGUUAGAUUUUGUUGUGUAUUGACCUUAACAGCUUGCAUUUCAAUUUUCUUGCUUUUUUUAAUGCACUUUUCGUUUAACAAGUCAACAUCAGUUUCUUUUGUUGUAAAAAGGUCAUUGGAAGGUGGCUUUCUUUUCGGAGAAAGUGUUUAUAGCCUUUGACUCCUGCAAUCGGAGAGACUGAGGUCUGCAGCGUAGAUCCUUCGGGGUUAGAUACAUUUGUGCUAAGUUAUAGCUUUUUAUAGACAACUUGUUGACUAUGAUUAGUCUUGUAGCUUACUCGCUUAUGCUAUUUUACCUACGCUUAGGAUGUUGAAGAUGUAGCACAUCA
rnacentral:rRNA from 1 species